CUUUUUCUUCUCUUUCUCCACGUCGCGCCUCUCAAUUUCUCUUUCCUUCCUCACUUUUCCUUUUUCACCUCUCCACGUCGCGUUUUGCUUCUCUAGCGGCGUGAGGCCAUGACUGUAGUACGAUUUCGAUGCGAUGAAGGUAGCUGGCUCGUGAAUGCAGGUAGCUGGCUCGUGAAGAAGAUGCAGACAGUGAGGUGUUGAUGGUUGCACGAAUCUAGCUCGUGGUCUGAUUUGGGGCUUUUCUGAUUUAGUACAAAUAGAUAAAUAUAAUAAACAACCGAAGAGCUUGGUCUUCAUUCACUCUGUCAACGUCACUGAGAUUUGAAUGUGAGCAAACCCUUCUCAUUCAAUGGCUUGAUUCAUGGAAAAGAAAUUCUGAGUCAGCUUCGUGAACUAAUAAAGUUGGAGCUGGACUUGUUUCAUGGAGAAGUAGAUGCUGCUGAACCACAAAAGCAAUUUGAAAAUUUGUCUACAGGUUUUGAACGUGACAUAGAGACUAAUA